rnacentral:rRNA from 1 species
AGAGUUUGAUUCUGGCUCAGGAUGAACGCUGGCGGCGUGCCUAACACAUGCAAGUCGAACGGAACUAUUUUGGAAACUCCUUCGGGAGCGGAAUCUUUAGUUUAGUGGCGGACGGGUGAGUAACGCGUGAGCAAUCUGCCUUUAAGAGGGGGAUAACAGUCGGAAACGGCUGCUAAUACCGCAUAAAGCAUCAAAUUCGCAUGUUUUUGAUGCCAAAGGAGCAAUCCGCUUUUAGAUGAGCUCGCGUCUGAUUAGCUGGUUGGCGGGGUAACGGCCCACCAAGGCGACGAUCAGUAGCCGGACUGAGAGGUUGAACGGCCACAUUGGGACUGAGACACGGCCCAG